rnacentral:piRNA from 1 species
GUACCAAGCUGUCCGUGAACACUGCGC